GUCCGGGUCUUGCGCAACGGGGCCCGGCCAACCCCGCCAGGUCCGGAAGGAAGCAACGGUCCGCCGGACGCGCCGUGUGCCGCAAGGGCGCCCGGUCCCG
rnacentral:SRP_RNA from 2 species